UACGUAGGUGGCAAGCGUUGUCCGGAUUUACUGGGCGUAAAGAGCGCGCAGGCGGUCGUUCAAGUCGCGUGUGAAAGCCCCCGGCUCAACUGGGGAGGGUCACGCGAUACUGAUCGACUCGAAGGCAGGAGAGGGAAGUGGAAUUCCCGGUGUAGUGGUGAAACUGCGUAGAUAAUCGGGAGGAACACCAGUGGCGAAGGCGACUUCCUGGCCUGUUCUUGACGCUGAGGCGCGAAAGCUAGGGGAGCAAACGGG
rnacentral:rRNA from 1 species